GCCCGGUUAGCUUAGUUGGUAGAGCGUGAGACUUUUAGAACAUCCAAUUCUUCCCAAAUCUCAAGGUCGCGGGUUCGAGCCCCGCAUUGGGCG